AACGCAUAUUGCACUCUUUGGUAUUCCGAAGAGUAUGCCUGUUUGAGGGUAAUUAAAAAGAAAUCUUUAAUCUCUUUUGAGUUUAAGGGAUAUGGGUAUUCCGUUAAUAAUUAUUAACGGUAACCUGAAAUAAAUGGUAGUCUUCAUCUAGUCUCGACGCGUAAUAAUAAUUAUUUCGUGAAAAGGUUAAUGAGCUAUCUAGUUUUAAUGCUCUUAAUAUAGAGGACAUUGAAACAAAUAAAUUUUUGACAUUACCUCAAAUCAGGUAGGACUACCCGCUGAACUUAA
rnacentral:misc_RNA from 1 species